UCUGCCUAUAAGGCUGAUGAGCCAGCAGAGACCUGCAGAGAUGGGAACCAAAGAGAAGGAAAAUGCAACGCAACUCUCGCAGCACCCAAAAAGGGUAUUUUAAGGAGUAUGCAGGGAUGUUUCAUACCAUGUCACAGGAAGGUCCUGCCUGCAGAGUGCUGAUGAAACCCAACUUCAAAUGCAGCUUUUACUGUACUCAUUUUUGCUCUUAUUUCUCUGUCUCUUCAAUAAUGAACGGCAUCCUCUUCCCACCCACUUCUCAGUCACUGCUGCUGAAUUAAAGAUAUCUCGUGGCUGCGCACAUGCCCUCUGCACUACCUGCUUCUCCCAAGCAAUUACUAAAUAGGAAUCGCUUCACUCAGUAGCUAUUUGUAGGAUACUGAAUAAGCCAAGGAGCUGUGCCAGUUCCUGCUGAGAAUCAGCCAUCAGCUCUUGUGCUGGGGGAAAAUGCUGUAGGAGCUGAGCCCUUCCAACGGAAAGCUGGCUAGCUGAAGACCUGCUGGCCGCUGCCAAAGCCAACAAGGCGAGCAGCCCUUGUGGGCGGCCGUGAGCCUGUGGGGUCGGUGGUGAGCUCCGCUGGUGGCACAGCAUGCUGGGUGCGAACAUGGGGUUCGGCAGAAGCCAGGGGUCUGCCCUGACUAACACCUCACUGAAAAGCAUGUUUCCAUCUAGUUUACCUUGCCCGGUUUGCAAAUAAGCCAGCAGUGUUACACCUGCUAAGCAGCUAGAAUUAUGCAUCAUCAUAAAUUAAACUUUUUAAUUUGCCAACAUUUCUGGCUUAUGUCAU